UUAAGUAGUGGUGCCGCAGGUAGCGGUUAUACACUUACCUGCAUCCCACUAUUUACCG
rnacentral:pre_miRNA from 1 species